AUGAGUGGCAAAAAAAAACACAACAAACAAAACAAAACAAAACAAAACAAAACGAAGCCCUGGUCCCGUGAUCUCGCCAGCACUGCUCACCCGGCCGCACCGGGGCAGGGAUGGGGGUCCCGCGUGGGGAGCUCGCUGGGGGGUCCAGCAGCCCGUGAUCUCUGGGGGAAGGCAAGGCGUGCUCCUCGUUCCUCCGUGGGAAAAACCACCCGGGGGGCUGCGCCGGGUGGUCCCGCACCCAUCCCCGGAGCAGGCGGAGGGAGGCCAGGUGCCCCGGGGCAGCUCACGGAACCACACGAAGCCGCCAUGCCCACUGCUGAGCCUCAGCCCUGGAGGCUCCGUCGUGGGACGUGGGCUUGGGCUGCCCUGCUGGGAGCAGGGCUGGUGGGACACAUCGACCCCAAGAGGGGCCUCCAGCCUCAAGCCUUCACCAGGUUCAGCCUCCAGGAGCCUCCGGGGUCUCUUCCACCGACCUCAGCCCCAGGAAGAGGUCACCACAGAGGGUGCGGAGGCUCCACUGGGACAUGGGCUCGGGCUGCCCUGCUCAGAGCAGGGCUGGUGGGACACGGUGGAACCCCCGGAGGAGCCUCCAGCCUCAACCCUUCACCAACCUCAGGCUCCAGGAGCCUCUGGGGUCUCUUCCACCGACCUCAGCCCCAGGAAGAGGUCACCACAGAGGUUGAGGAGGCUCCGCUGGGACCCGAGCUCCGGCUGGCAGUGCUCAGAGCAGGGCUGGUGGGACACAUCGACCCCAAGAGGAGCCUCCAGCCUCAACCCUUGAUCGGCCUCAGCCUCCAGGAGCCUCCGGGGUCUCUUCCACCGACCUCAGCCCCAGGAAGAGGUCACCACAGAGGGUGCGGAGGCUCCGCUGGGACAUGGGCUCGGGCUGCCCCGCUCAGAGCAGGGCUGGUGGGACACGGGGGGGACCCCAAGAGGAGGCUCCAGCCUCAGCCCUUGACCAGCCUCAGCCUCCAGGAGCCUCCGCAGUCUCCUCGCCGGCCUCGGCCUCCCCGAGGGAGGCACCCCGGGGUCACGUGA
rnacentral:lncRNA from 1 species